AGCGAACGCUGGCGGCAGGCCUAACACAUGCAAGUCGAGCGCCGUAGCAAUACGGAGCGGCAGACGGGAGAGUAACACGUGGGAACGUGCCCUUUGGUUCGGAACAACCCAGGGAAACUUGGGCUAAUACCGGAUAAGCCCUUACGGGGAAAGAUUUAUCGCCGAAGGAUCGGCCCGCGUCUGAUUAGCUAGUUGGGGGGGUAAUGGCCCACCAAGGCGACGAUCAGUAGCUGGUCUGAGAGGAUGAUCAGCCUCACUGGGACUGAGACACGGCCCAGACUCCUACGGGAGGCAGCAGUGGGGAAUAUUGGACAAUGGGCGCAAGCCUGAUCCAGCCAUGCCGCGUGGGUGAUGAAGGCCCUAGGGUUGUAAAGCCCUUUCGGCGGGGAAGAUAAUGACGGUACCCGCAGAAGAAGCCCCGGCUAACUUCGUGCCAGCAGCCGCAGUAA
rnacentral:rRNA from 1 species